UACGUAGGCAGCAAGCGUUGUUCGGAGUUACUGGGCGUAAAGGGUGCGUAGGCGGCCUUAUAAGUAUGGUGUGAAAUCUCCCGGCUUAACUGGGAGGGUGCGCUAUAGACUGUGGGGCUAGAGUGUGGGAGAGGAAAGUGGAAUUCCUGGUGUAGCGGUGAAAUGCGUAGAUAUCAGGAGGAACACCGGUGGUGUAAACGGCUUUCUGGACCAUAACUGACGCUGAGGCACGAAAGCGUGGGGAGCGAACAGG
rnacentral:rRNA from 1 species